rnacentral:rRNA from 1 species
UCCGUAGGUGAACCUGCGGAAGGAUCAUUAACGAAUAAACUUGAACAGGCUGUUGCUAGCUCCCCUGGGGGGCAUGUGCACGCUUGUCAUCUUUGUUUCUCCAACUGUGCACACAUUGUAGACCUGUUUCGGUUCGAGUUUGGGACUGCCAUCUUGGCCUUUCAGGUCUAUGUCAUUUUUUACAAACCAAUGAAUUUGUUUAGAAUGUUGAAUCAGGUCCUUUUUGUACCUAUAAAAGUUAUAAACAACUUUCAGCAACGGAUCUCUUGGUUCUCGCAUCGAUGAAGAACGCAGCGAAAUGCGAUAAGUAAUGUGAAUUGCAGAAUUCAGUGAAUCAUCGAAUCUUUGAACGCAUCUUGCGCUCCUUGGUAUUCCGAGGAGCAUGCCUGUUUGAGUGUCAUUUCGACUUCUCAACCACAGCUGGAUUCAUUUUCUGGGUGUGGCUUGGAUGUGGGGGGGAGUAUAUCUUGUGCAGGCCUCUGUGAGGUCUGCUCCCCUGAAAAGCAUUAGUGGUAUCCGAGCAGAGAAACUACUACAGGUGUGAUAAUUUAUCUAUGCCCAUGGUAUUCUGCAUGAAUGGAUUGCGCUGCUUCUAAACAACAUUUGACAAAUUUGACCUCAAAUCAGGUAGGACUACCCGCUGAACUUAAGCAUAUCAAUAAGCGGAGGA